rnacentral:rRNA from 1 species
CGAGGAAGCCCCGGCUAACUACGUGCCAGCAGCCGCGGUAAGACGUAGGGGGCGAGCGUUAUCCGGAUUUAUUGGGCGUAAAGCGCGCGCAGGCGGACCGCAGCAGUGGCGUGUGGAAUCUCCCGGCUCACCCGGGAGGGGUCAUGCCAGACGGGCGGUCUUGAGGCAAACAGUGGGUCGCGGAACGGGCAGAGUAGGGGUGAAAUCCGUAGAGACUGUCCGGAACACCAGAGGCGAAGGCGGCGACCUAGGUUUGAGAAGCAGUCGCGAGACUGUCCUGACGCUCAGGCGCGAAAGCGUGGGUAGCGAACGGAAUUAGAUACUCCGGUAGUCCACGCCCUAAACGAUGGCCACUCGGUGUCGGGGGUAUCGACCCCCUCGGUGCCUUAGCUAACGCGGUAAGUGGCCCCCCUGGGGACUACGGCCGCAGGCUAAAACUCAAAGGAAUUGACGGGGGCCCGCACAAGCAGCGGAGCGUGUGGAUUAAUUCGAUGCAACGCGAAGAGCCUUACCCAGUUGACAUGCACUGGUGGGAGGGGAACCCGACGACCCCAGGAGGUGUCACAGGUGCUGCAUGGCUUGUCUUCAACUCUGCC